GAUGAACGCUAGCGGCAGGCUUAACACAUGCAAGUCGAGGGGUAACAGGGAAGCUUGCUUCCGCUGACGACCGGCGCACGGGUGCGUAACGCGUAUAGAACCUACCUUUUACAGAGGGAUAGCCUUUAGAAAUGAAGAUUAAUACCUCAUAGUAUUAUAGAUUCGCAUGAAUUUAUACUUAAAGAUUUAUCGGUAAAAGAUGGCUAUGCGUCCUAUUAGCUAGAUGGUAAGGUAACGGCUUACCAUGGCGACGAUAGGUAGGGGUCCGUGAGAGGGAGAUCCCCACCACUGGUACUGAGACACGGACCAGACUCCUACGGGAGGCAGCAGUGAGGAAUAUUGGGCAAUGGAGGCAACUCUGACCCAGCCAUGCCGCGUGCAGGAAGACGGCCCUAUGGGUUGUAAACUGCUUUUAUACAGGAAGAAACACUCGUACGUGUACGAGCUUGACGGUACUGUAAGAAUAAGGACCGGCUAACUCCGUG
rnacentral:rRNA from 1 species